rnacentral:rRNA from 1 species
GACGAACGCUGGCGGCGUGCUUAACACAUGCAAGUCGAACGGAAAGGCCCUGCUUUUGUGGGGUGCUCGAGUGGCGAACGGGUGAGUAACACGUGAGUAACCUGCCCUUGACUUUGGGAUAACUUCAGGAAACUGGGGCUAAUAUCGGAUAGGAGCUCCUGCUGCAUGGUGGGGGGUGGAAAGUUUCGGCGGUUGGGGAUGGACUCGCGGCUUAUCAGCUUGUUGGUGGGGUAGUGGCUUACCAAGGCUUUGACGGGUAGCCGGCCUGAGAGGGUGACCGGCCACAUUGGGACUGAGAUACGGCCCAGACUCCUACGGGAGGCAGCAGUGGGGAAUAUUGCACAAUGGGCGGAAGCCUGAUGCAGCAACGCCGCGUGCGGGAUGACGGCCUUCGGGUUGUAAACCGCUUUCGCCUGUGACGAAGCGUGAGUGACGGUAAUGGGUAAAGAAGCACCGGCUAACUACGUG